rnacentral:rRNA from 1 species
GACGAACGCUGGCGGCGUGCCUAAUACAUGCAAGUAGAACGCACAGUUUAUACCGUAGCUUGCUACACCAUAGACUGUGAGUUGCGAACGGGUGAGUAACGCGUAGGUAACCUGCCUGGUAGCGGGGGAUAACUAUUGGAAACGAUAGCUAAUACCGCAUAAUAUUAAUUAUUGCAUGAUAAUUAAUUGAAAGGUGCAAUUGCACCACUACCAGAUGGACCUGCGUUGUAUUAGCUAGUAGGUGAGGUAACGGCUCACCUAGGCGACGAUACAUAGCCGACCUGAGAGGGUGAUCGGCCACACUGGGACUGAGACACGGCCCAGACUCCUACGGGAGGCAGCAGUGGGGAAUCUUCGGCAAUGGACGAAAGUCUGACCGAGCAACGCCGCGUGAGUGAAGAAGGUUUUCGGAUCGUAAAGCUCUGUUGUAAGAGAAGAACGGGUGUGAGAGUGGAAAGUUCACACUGUGACGGUAUCUUACCAGAAAGGGACGGCUAACUACGUG